rnacentral:rRNA from 1 species
UACGAAGGGUGCAAACGUUGCUCGGAAUUAUUGGGCGUAAAGCGCGUGUAGGCGGCCCGGUAAGUCCGCUGUGAAAGUCGGGGGCUCAACCCUCGAAAGCCGGUGGAUACUGUCGGGCUAGAGUACGGAAGAGGCGAGUGGAAUUCCUGGUGUAGUGGUGAAAUGCGUAGAUAUCGGGAGGAACACCAGUGGCGAAGGCGGACUACCUGGCCUGUUCUUGACGCUGAGGCGCGAAAGCGCGGGGAGCGAACAGG